rnacentral:rRNA from 1 species
UACGGAAGGUGCAAGCGUUAAUCGGAAUCAUUGGGCGUAAAGGGCGCGUAGGCGGGACAGCAAGUCAGAUGUGAAAUUCCGGAGCUCAACUCCGGAGCUGCAUUUGAAACUACUAUCCUAGAGGGUAGACGGAGAAAGCGGAAUUCCAUGUGUAGCGGUGAAAUGCGUAGAUACAUGGAGGAACACCGGUGGCGAAGGCGGCUUUCUAGUUUAUUCCUGACGCUAAAGCGCGAAAGCAAGGGGAGCAAACAGG